CCCACAUCUCAGGGUCGGAGUCAGUUUCACAGAGCAGCGCAGGAGGACGACAGACACAUAAAGAACAUUAACAGUUUAGUUUGAAUCUCUCUCAGUCAGUCAGGGGGAGAUUAACUGACAGACUGUAUAACGUUACACGUCUUACCAAGAAACCUUUUAAAGUUUAGCACAAAUGUGUCUCGUGGAAGUUUGAAUCUCUCUCAGUCAGGGGGGAGAUUGACUGACAGACUGUCUACUUGCCACCAGACAGUAAUUUACCCUGAAACCUUUUUAAGUAAGGACUAACGUAAACUGACUCUCUGUCUGCUCUCAACCAGUUAUUUAAGACCUUCUAAAGCCUAGUGCAAACGUUUCCUGCGCAAGUUUGAAUCUCUCAGUCAGGGGGGAGAUUGACUGACUGACUGACUGACUGUCUACUCGCC